rnacentral:misc_RNA from 1 species
GUUCGGUAGUUUUGUGUCCCCAUCAGGGCUAUAUGGUAAGAGCCCUCAAAUUUCAUUUUCUAAAACACUCCACAGAACAAAUAGUACUAUCUCCAUAAUAUCUAAUGCAGCAAAAGAUGCUACUCAGAUUUGAAGGCUCGGUAACAAAACUGACUUAAUUCUAAUUCAAUUAAUUGAGGGAAUAUUACUGGGGCAUUAUGUGUGAUAACAUCAACUGGUUGUCAUAUUAGAAUAUUGUCAGUGGCCAAGGACAAUACAUAAAUAAAACCUCUUUGAAGUACUAGACACUAGACGGAUAAUCAGAAGAAAACUUGAUCUGAAUUAUUAAACGUUAUCUUCAAAAUUGUUGUUAGGAUGCAACAAGUGAUAUCAGAAUUAUGAACAUCAGGUGCCAAUACAACAAUAACAGACAUGUUUGACGAA